UACGGAGGGUGCAAGCGUUAUCCGGAUUUACUGGGUUUAAAGGGUGCGUAGGUGGGCCUGUAAGUCAGUGGUGAAAUCUUCAAGCUUAACUUGGAAGCUGCCAUUGAUACUAUAGGUCUUGAAUUAUCUGGAGGUAAGCGGAAUAUGUCAUGUAGCGGUGAAAUGCUUAGAGAUGACAUAGAACACCCAUUGCGAAGGCAGCUUACUACGGAUUGAUUGACACUGAGGCACGAAAGCGUGGGGAUCAAACAGG
rnacentral:rRNA from 1 species